rnacentral:tRNA from 1 species
GGGGCGGUAGCUCAGUCUGGUAGAGCGCCGGCGAGUUCUUCGGAUUCUUGUCGGAGGUCGCGGUCCGUUCAAAUCCCGCCCGUCCCA